rnacentral:lncRNA from 1 species
AAAAGGCAACACUUCAAUUGGCAGAGAUAAAGCACGCUCGCCUUGCCAUGGUUGCAUUCCUUGGAUUUGCAGUUCAAGCUGCUGUUACUGGGAAAGGACCUCUCAACAACUGGGCCACUCACUUGAGUGACCCUCUCCAUACAACCAUCAUCGAUAACUUCAGCUCUUAAAAAAGACACUAUUUGUAUUGCCUGUUUUGGGUUGUUUGCACGGAGGAUGGAUUACUAGGUUGUACUAAUAUUUAUAUGCG